rnacentral:rRNA from 1 species
GCGAACGGGUGAGUAAUGCAUCGGAACGUACCGAGUAGUGGGGGAUAACUGUCCGAAAGGAUGGCUAAUACCGCAUACGCUUUGAGAAGGAAAGCAGGGGAUCUUCGGACCUUGCGCUAUUCGAGCGGCCGAUGUCUGAUUAGCUAGUUGGUGGGGUAAAGGCCUACCAAGGCGACGAUCAGUAGCGGGUCUGAGAGGAUGAUCCGCCACACUGGGACUGAGACACGGCCCAGACUCCUACGGGAGGCAGCAGUGGGGAAUUUUGGACAAUGGGCGCAAGCCUGAUCCAGCCAUGCCGCGUGUCUGAAGAAGGCCUUCGGGUUGUAAAGGACUUUUGUCAGGGAAGAAAAGGUUGUGGUUAAUACCCAUGACUGAUGACGGUACCUGAAGAAUAAGCACCGGCUAACUACGUGCCAGCAGCCGCGGUAAUACGUAGGGUGCGAGCGUUAAUCGGAAUUACUGGGCGUAAAGCGAGCGCAGACGGUUACUUAAGCAGGAUGUGAAAUCCCCGGGCUCAACCU